rnacentral:misc_RNA from 1 species
AAGGAUCAUUAGAGAAAUGGGGAUCGCUCGUGAACCCGGGUUGCUGCUGGUGUUACACACACAUGUGCGCACUUGGACCGAGUGCAUUCUUUUGCCAUUCACACACACCAGUGCACGAACUGUAGCAUAGGGAUGAUUACGAAGUCGAUCGAUCGAUCGAUCGGAUCGAUUGCGAAUGCCUUUUGCUACGUUGUAUGUCACACACACGAUGUCGACUUUUGGAUGUUAUACAAUGCGUGUUAUAUCGCAGAUGCAAUACAACUUUCAGCAACGGAUCUCUUGGCUCUC